rnacentral:rRNA from 1 species
GACGAACGCUGGCGGCGUGCUUAACACAUGCAAGUCGAACGGAGUGGCGAACGGGUGAGUAACACGUGGGUGACCUGCCCUGCACUUCGGGAUAAGCCUGGGAAACUGGGGCUAAUACCGGAUAGUGUGGGAUGGGCCCGCGGCCUAUCAGCUUGUUGGUGGGGUAAUGGCCUACCAAGGCGGCGACGGGUAGCCGGCCUGAGAGGGUGGACGGCCACAUUGGGACUGAGAGACGGCGCAGAGUCGUACGGGGGGCAGCGGGGGGGAGUAUUGCACAAUGAGGGGAAGCCUGAUGCAGAGGCGCCGGGUGGGGGAUGACGUCCUUCGGGUUGUAAACUCCUUUCACCAUCGACGCGGUAGAUGGAGAAGAAGCACCGGCUAACUACGUGCCAGCCGCCGCGGUAAUAC